rnacentral:tRNA from 1 species
GGGCUCGUAGUAUUAUGAAGUAAAUACCCUGUCUUGACACCAGGAGUAACGGGUGCAAGUCCCGUCGGGUCCA